AGAAUCAACGCUAGCGGCGUGCCUCAGACAUGCAAGUCGAACGCGAACGUUUCCUUCGGGAAACUAUUAGAGUGGCGCACGGGUGAGUAACACGUAAGUAAUCUACCUUUGGGUGGGGAAUAACAGUCGGAAACGGCUGCUAAUACCGCAUAAUGCAGCGGCUCCGUAUGGAGACAGUUGUUAAAGAAUUUAUUCGCCUAAAGAGGAGCUUGCGGUAGAUUAGCUAGUUGGUGAGGUAAUGGCUCACCAAGGCAACGAUCUAUAGCCGACCUGAGAGGGUGGUCGGUCACGACUGACACUGAAUAACGGGUCAGACUCCUACGGAGGCAGCAGUCGGGAAUUUUGGGCAAUGGGCGAAAGCCUGACCCAGCAACGCCGCGUGAAGGAUGAAGUAUUUCGGUAUGUAAACUUCGUAAAAAUGGGAAGAAUCAAUGACGGUACCAUUUGUAAGGUCCGGCUAACUACGUGCCAGCAGCCGC
rnacentral:rRNA from 1 species